rnacentral:rRNA from 1 species
ACAGAGGUGCUAAGCGUUAGGCGGAAUCACUGGGCUUAAAGCGCGUGUAGGUGGACGGGUAAGUAUCUUGUGAAAUCCCACGGCUCAACCGUGGAACUGCUGGAUAUACUGCUUGUCUUGAGGCACUUAGGGGCAGCUGGAACAAAUGGUGGAGCGGUGAAAUGCGUAGAUAUCAUUUGGAACGCCAAAGGCGAAAGCAGGCUGCUGGGAGUGAUCUGACACUGAGACGCGAAAGCCAGGGGAGCAAACGGGA